UCCACACAUGAUUACUAGGCAGAGCGGCUGGGUAUAGUGCAUAAUCAAAGACGACGACCUCCAAGGAAGUAAUAUGGGUUCAAAUAUUAUUUGUACAUCUCUCUUGCAAGAAAAACCUUUCCUCCACCUCUGUCGGCGCAGUCACCGGUCUGUCUCAUCUCCGAUGGCCUUUGGGCCAUGGAGGUGCAAAGGACCUCGACCCCCUGCCAGCGGGAGGUACCCCAUCCUCGUUCUUUAGUAUCAGCGUCUUGCUUGGGGCUGUGUGGCGGCGACAAUGUCCCUCGAUAGGAAUAGUGUCUUCCACGUUCUAUGGUGUGUCUAUGUUCGUUGGAGGGCGUGUGGAGAUGUGUCUCCGUCAGAUCUCGCGGGAUUCGGUUGGAGUUGUUAUUUGUUUGGAUCCGGCUUUCGUUCAUCUUCGUUUGAGCACCGGUGAUGUUUGCUGCUCUGGUGCUUUGGUCCUAUGGGGUCUUAACACGACGACUUUCCGACUGUCAACUACAAUAAGGUUUGCCCGACUCCAGUGGAGAAGGGGCGAUGACGGCAGCGCGCCUUCGGCUCGCUCCGGUGCUUUCAGUUAUCGCUAGGUGGUCCACAGACUUGGUUGACUUAUGGUCUGGAUCGUGAUUCCCAACCGACCAGACGUCUCAGCAGACAGCAGUCAGCACAAGUCAUCCUAUUUAUUUUGUUUUAUACUAGUAAAAGAACCCGUGCGUCGUAACCAGA